UAAAUACUUAAAAACCCAUCAUUUUCUUGUUUGUUUGUUUGAUAGUACGGUAACAACCAUGGGUAACACACAGUUUUUAAUUUAGAUCGUUCCCAUGUCAUUCAUAUCUGAUCUGACAAAUGUUUGUGUCGAUGCCGAUAUGAUCCUUGGAUUGGUGCAUCUCUACUAACUAUUCAGACAAACCUCCAAAUCAGCUGAUGAAAUGGUACACUACCAUCCUGAAUGCUGCCUCUUUGCUUUCCAGAGGCAGUGGUUUGAGACCAAUACACCAAGAAAUACUUUAAGUUAAUGAGUUUUGUACUUUUUUUUUUUUUUUUGGGAAGUACAGGCUUUUUUAAGGGGUACUUGUUACAGUGUGUUGUAAUUUAUGAGCUAUGAGAUUUCAGCUGCAUGGGCAGAGUCCUUGAAACAUACCACUGCCCAUUGCAGUAACCAUCAGUGUUCAUCAUACAUAUACGUGUGUGUGUGUGUGUGUGUGUGUGUGUGUUGCCCUCCAUAAGUAUUGGAACAGUAAUGACAAAUUUGAUUUGUCUGCUGUGGAGUCAAGACAUCUGCAAAUAUGCCUAAAAGAUGAAUAUGAGACAAAGCAUCAGAAUGUCACAUUUUAUUAUUGGCCAUUUCAACAUUCAUCUUUUACAAAAUAAAAAGGACAGCACUUUUAGAGUUUCA